UACGUAGGUGGCAAGCGUUGUCCGGAUUUAUUGGGUUUAAAGGGUGCGUAGGCGGUCUAUUAAGUCAGUUGUGAAAUACGGCAGCUCAACUGUCGAGGUGCAAUUGAUACUGAUGGACUUGAGUACUGAUGAGGUAAGCGGAAUGGACGGUGUAGCGGUGAAAUGCUUAGAUAUCGUCCAGAACACCGAUAGCGAAGGCAGCUUACUAAGGAGUAACUGACGCUGAGGCACGAAAGCGUGGGGAGCAAACAGG
rnacentral:rRNA from 1 species